rnacentral:rRNA from 1 species
AACGAACGCUGGCGGCAGGCCUAACACAUGCAAGUCGAGCGCCCAGCAAUGGGAGCGGCGGACGGGUGAGUAACGCGUGGGAAUUUUUCCUGGAGUACGGAACCACCGAGGGAAACUUCGGCUAAUACCGUAUGAUAUCGAGAGAUCAAAGAUUUAUCGCUCUGGGGUGAGCCCGCGUCAGAUUAGGUAGUUGGUGGGGUAACGGCCUACCAAGCCUGCGAUCUGUAGCUGGUCUGAGAGGACGAUCAGCCACACUGGGACUGAGACACGGCCCAGACUCCUACGGGAGGCAGCAGUGGGGAAUCUUGCGCAAUGGGCGAAAGCCUGACGCAGCCAUGCCGCGUGAGUGAAGAAGGUCUUAGGAUUGUAAAGCUCUUUCGCUCGUGACGAUGAUGACGGUAACGAGAGAAGAAGCCCCGGCUAACUCUGUGCCAGCAGCCGCAGUAAUAC